UAAAAGUAUCAGAGUAAGUCAGAAGUAUUUUUGCAUUAUUGUUAAUGCAUUUUAUUUUGAAGGUCUAUGGGAAGUGAUGUGCAUGUGUACUACUGUCACUCGUUUUACUCCUGUUUGGACUUGACUGUGUGUGGCCGGAAGUGAAGGAGGGCUCAGUUGUUUUUCUUGUUUUGGUGCGCGCGAGUGAGAGGACGAAGGGAAGCGCGUGGGAUUUAUGUGGUGGUUAUAGUAGUUUCUGGACUGUUAAUCCAAUAGUCGCUGAUGGAGACCUACUUCUCCACGUUUUUGAAGAACUCGUGGAUGUUUUCAGACCGAGGACAACCCUGGAAUAUAGCCGACCGAGCUCCGUUUUAGCAUUCGCUAGCCCGGUGAAUGCUCCGCGUGUGUGACUGGUGAAGUCAACCCGACGAAAGAAAACUAUUUAUGUUCCCGGUUUGUGGCAUGAACAUUUUCGGUAAGGGAGCAAAUAGGUUUGAAGAGUGACCUAAGUGGAUUUGUGUUUCCCGGAGUCGGAGAGGAGCGGAGGGCAGAGCGGAUACGUGUUGAUAUCAGGAAGCCCGUGAGUGUGAUCCACGCCGUCUUGGACAUCCCAGGGCUGGUCGACCUUCGCGAGUGUGUGAAAGAUCAAAAGUAAAGCUAGGAGGAUGUUACAGGACCACCUGGAAUACAGCAGACCCCGGUCCUCGUCAUUUCAGCUGAGCCUUUAUCUUUUUCAAGCCACCUUUUAUGCAGCUACAGUCAGCCUCAAGACCUGGGGAGUGCAAGGUUCGUUCUGCUCCAAGACAAAGGAACAGCUCAUCCAGACCAAUAAAAAGAAGGAAAAAGCUUCAAAGCAGAUUUUGAGGGAGAACCGGACGCCCUCCAUGCCACUCACCUGUGGCGAAGGCUUCACUCUUAACCCAGUUCACCCUCGAGGCAGACAGGAUAGAAAA